rnacentral:misc_RNA from 1 species
AAACUCUCAAGCUUCGCUUGGUAUUGGGAACCGCUCGCCAGAGCGGCCCCGCAACCUGUUGAGCGUGACACCGGGACUUCAAACGUAGCAGAAAACUUUCGUUUAGUCGGCCCCGGCGCCUCCGCCAUACAAAACCUCACAUCAUUUAAA